UUUCCGAUCCAAAAGUCCAAGUACUGCGUUGGUUUUGUGCAGUACACUAGUACUUGUACUACAUUUCACUUAGUUUUUUUCACUCAUUUCACCCUUUUUUUUUUCACUCUUUCUUUCUUUAUUUUUGUUUUAUUUUUUUCACUCAUUUCACUUUUAUUUAUUUCUUUUUUUUUCCCACUCAAACCCUCUUCUUCUCCAUCCCACGAUCCCCAAACUCCAUUAAGGACAAGAAGAUUGAGGAUUCAAUCGAGAGACUGCCAUCCAGUGGUUGGACAACAACCAGUUGUCGGAUGCCGAUGAGUUCGAAGACAAGAUGGAAUUGGAGAGCAUCUGCAACCCAAUCACAAGAACCUUUUGGUUGAUGAGUAGGAAGAGGAAAUCACAAGGGAAUUGAUUGAAAUUGCUUAGAUUCAGAAACCCUAAGAUAUUGCGGUGGUUGUUUUGAUGGAACCGCGGAUAACGAUGUUGUUCGAAGAAGCGAAUCUUCAAAUGAGGAGAACAAAGAGGAAAGACCACCAGACUUGAGGCGUGAGUGAAAGAUUUGGACCCGUGGGGACUCGUAAGAACCAGCUCGUUUCAAAAGGGCCAGGUUAGGUCCGGAUCCUAUUUUGAAAAAUCCAAAAUCUGCCCCGCCCUGCCCCAUUGUAUUUACGAACAGAUCCGGUCCGGUUCCUUUAAUUUUGGGCUCGACCCGGCCCAUGCCCGCCCCUAGUUUUGUUUAUGUGUGUGUGUGUGUUUUCGAAGUUGGUAUUUUUUUCUAUGAGUAGCUAUUAUGCAUGUAUGCAGUAUAAUACUAUUCGACUAUGUUUAUGUACAACUUUUCAUCUUUGCCUUUCUUAACUAAGAGCCAGAAAGAUGUGGUUUGAAAGGAAAUAAUGAAAUAUUAAGCGUUCGACCUAGCAAUUUAUAAUU